rnacentral:hammerhead_ribozyme from 1 species
GUACUGCUAAGGCGUCCCAAAAUAGGACGAAACGGCCGUCCAGUAA